rnacentral:rRNA from 1 species
GACGAACGCUGGCGGCGUGCUUAACACAUGCAAGUCGAACGGAAAGGCCCUGCUUUUGUGGGGUGCUCGAGUGGCGAACGGGUGAGUAACACGUGAGUAACCUGCCCUUGACUUUGGGAUAACUUCAGGAAACUGGGGCUAAUACCGGAUAGGAGCUCCUGCUGCAUGGUGGGGGUUGGAAAGUUUCGGCGGUUGGGGAUGGACUCGCGGCUUAUCAGCUUGUUGGUGGGGUAGUGGCUUACCAAGGCUUUGACGGGUAGCCGGCCUGAGAGGGUGACCGGCCACAUUGGGACUGAGAUACGGCCCAGACUCCUACGGGAGGCAGCAGUGGGGAAUAUUGCACAAUGGGCGGAAGCCUGAUGCAGCAACGCCGCGUGCGGGAUGACGGCCUUCGGGUUGUAAACCGCUUACGUCUGUGACGAAGCGUGAGUGACGGUAAUGGGUAAAGAAGCACCGGCUAACUACGUGCCAGCAGCCGCGGUGAUACGUAGGGUGCGAGCGUUGUCCGGAUUUAUUGGGCGUAAAGGGCUCGUAGGUGGUUGAUCGCGUCGGAAGUGUAAUCUUGGGGCUUAACCCUGAGCGUGCUUUCGAUACGGGUUGACUUGAGGAAGGUAGGGGAGAAUGGAAUUCCUGGUGGAGCGGUGGAAUGCGCAGAUAUCAGGAGGAACACCAGUGGCGAAGGCGGUUCUCUGGGCCUUUCCUGACGCUGAGGAGCGAAAGCGUGGGGAGCGAACAGGCUUAGAUACCCUGGUAGUCCACGCUGUAAACGGUGGGUACUAGGUGUGGGGCCCAUUCCACGGGUUCCGUGCCGUAGCUAACGCUUUAAGUACCCCGCCUGGGGAGUACGGCCGCAAGGCUAAAACUCAAAGGAAUUGACGGGGCCCCGCACAAGCGGCGGAGCAUGCGGAUUAAUUCGAUGCAACGCGUAGAACCUUACCUGGGUUUGACAUGGAUCGGGAGUGCUCAGAGAUGGGUGUGCCUCUUUUGGGGUCGGUUCACAGGUGGUGCAUGGCUGUCGUCAGCUCGUGUCGUGAGAUGUUGGGUUAAGUCCCGCAACGAGCGCAACCCUUGUUCACUGUUGCCAGCACGUUAUGGUGGGGACUCAGUGGAGACCGCCGGGGUCAACUCGGAGGAAGGUGGGGAUGACGUCAAGUCAUCAUGCCCCUUAUGUCCAGGGCUUCACGCAUGCUACAAUGGCUGGUACAGAGAGUGGCGAGCCUGUGAGGGUGAGCGAAUCUCGGAAAGCCGGUCUCAGUUCGGAUUGGGGUCUGCAACUCGACCUCAUGAAGUCGGAGUCGCUAGUAAUCGCAGAUCAGCAACGCUGCGGUGAAAACGUUCCCGGG